rnacentral:rRNA from 1 species
UACGUAGGCAGCGAGCGUUGUUCGGAGUUACUGGGCGUAAAGGGUGUGUAGGCGGUUGUUUAAGUUUGGUGUGAAAUCUCCCGGCUCAGCUGGGAGGGUGCGCCGAAUACUGAAUGACUUGGAGUGCGGGAGAGGUGAGUGGAAUUCCUGGUGUAGCGGUGAAAUGCGUAGAUAUCAGGAGGAACACCGGUGGUGUAGGCGGCUCACUGGACCGUAACUGACGCUGAGACACGAAAGCGUGGGUAGCAAACAGG